rnacentral:tRNA from 1 species
GCGGUCGUGGUGAAAUUGGUAGACACGCUACUUUGAGGGGGUAGUGGGCGUAUGCCUGUGCCGGUUCGAGUCCGGCCGACCGUA